rnacentral:rRNA from 1 species
UGCCUGUUUUACAAAAACAUGUCUUUUAGUUUUUUUUAAAGGUUUGACCUGCUCAAUGAUAAUUUAAAUAGCCGCAGUAUUUUAACUGUGCAAAGGUAGCAUAAUAAUUAGUCUUUUAAUUGAGGUCUGGAAUGAAUGGUUGAACGAGAAAUUUACUUUAUUAAUUAAAAUAUUUUGAAUUUAUAAAUUAAGUUAAAAUACUUAAAUUUUUUAGAGGGACGAUAAGACCCUAUAGAUCUUUAAAAUAUUAAUUUUUCUUUCUUUUUGUUGUUUUAUAAAUAGAUUUUUAAUUUUUUUUAGUUGGGGUGAUUAGCAAAAUUUUAAACUUUGUUUUAUUUUUACAUUCAUUUAUGUUUUUUUUGAUCCUUUUUUUUUGAUUAAAAGAUAAAGAUACCUUAGGGAUAACAGCGUUAUUUAUUUGGAGAGUUCUAAUCGAUGAAUAAGUUUGCGACCUCGAUGUUGGAUUAAGUUGUGUUUGUGGGGUAGGUUUUACAA